CAUCAGUACCUCUUGUAUACAGGGCCCAGGAUUUGGUGCCACGGCCCUCAUAUAUGUAGCAAAAUUCAAAUGGCAAUGCAAUUUGCAAUUUGCAAUUCAAUAUGUCAUUACAUUAUGCAAUUGACAAUUCAUUAUGCAAUUUUAUAAUGUAAUUUGUAAAUACGUUAUUCAAAGUGUAUUUUAAUAUGCAAAGUGACAAUGCAAUCCUCAAUUAAGUUUGCAAAAGUUAUAACAAUAAAAAUAGAAUAACAUUUUGUCCAAUUCUUUGAGUUCCUUUAUUCAAAUUGAAAAGCUAGAGGGUCCCCGUGAUUGCAAUCCACUUUGCCACGCUCCGUGUGUUGCGAUAUUCAAAUGACAUUUCAAUCCGCAAAACGAACGCUUUGCAAAAGAUUUGGCAAAACGGAAUCCAAAACGUUUUCCAAAACGGAAUCCAAAACGUUUUCCAAAAAGUCAAUAUGCAAAGUGGCAAACGUAUCAGCCAAUCAGCGUAUGGGCGGGAAUUACGUCACUUCCUAUUGCCUCCAAGGGUAUCUCCAGAGAAUGUCUAAUAUGAGGAGAAUGGGCACUCGCUGGUUAGUUCCGGUUUUCUGGAAUGGUUGCAGUAAUAAUCUCUGUCCACGCGGGGUGCUCGUAGGCGAGUCCAGAAUGAAUGGGAGCCUAUGGGGUUUUAUCCUCAGAAUCCACUUUUCUCACAAUGUCAUUUUUUGUCAAGUAAUUUGAAAGUUGCGUUCAAAAGGUGGGGCUAAAAUAAUAAACUCAGCUGAAUAUUGCA